GAUGAAGAACGUAGCGAAAUGCGAUACGUAAUGUGAAUUGCAGAAUUCAGUGAAUCAUCGAAUCUUUGAACGCAUAUUGCGCUCUCUGGUAUUCUGGAGAGCAUGCUUGUUUGAGUAUCAGUAAACACCUCAACUCCCCUUUCUUUUUUGAAAUGGGAGCUGGACUUGAGUGAUCCCAACGCUUUUCUCACCGAAAAGUGGCGGGUUACUUGAAAUGCAGGUGCAGCUGGACUUUUCUCUGAGCUAAAAGCAUAUCUAUUUAGUCUGCCUAAAAACAGAUUAUUACCUUUGCUGCAGCUAACAUAAAGGAGAUUAGUUCUUGUGCUGACUGAUGCAGGAUUCACAGAGACAGCUUCGGCUGGCCUUUGUAAACUCGAUCUCAAAUCAAGUAAGACUACCCGCUGAACUUAAGCAUAUCAAUAAGCGGAGGA
rnacentral:misc_RNA from 1 species